GCGACGAGUGGCGACGGGUGAGUAAUACAUCGGAACGUGCCCAGUAGUGGGGGAUAGCCCGGCGAAAGCCGGAUUAAUACCGCAUACGACCUAUGGGUGAAAGCGGGGGAUCGCAAGACCUCGCGCUAUUGGAGCGGCCGAUGUCGGAUUAGCUAGUUGGUGGGGUAAAAGCCUACCAAGGCUACGAUCCGUAGCUGGUCUGAGAGGACGACCAGCCACACUGGGACUGAGACACGGCCCAGGCUCCUACGGGAGGCAGCAGUGGGGAAUUUUGGACAAUGGGCGCAAGCCUGAUCCAGCCAUGCCGCGUGCGGGAAGAAGGCCUUCGGGUUGUAAACCGCUUUUGUCAGGGAAGAAACGGUUUGGGUUAAUAACUCGAACUAAUGACGGUACCUGAAGAAUAAGCACCGGCUAACUACGUGCCAGCAGCCGCGGUAAUACGUAGGGUGCAAGCGUUAAUCGGAAUUACUGGGCGUAAAGCGUGCGCAGGCGGCUUUGCAAGACAGAUGUGAAAUCCCCGGGCUCAACCUAGGAACUGCAUUUGUGACUGCAUCGCUGGAGUGCGGCAGAGGGGGAUGGAAUUCCGCGUGUAGCAGUGAAAUGCGUAGAUAUGCGGAGGAACACCGAUGGCGAAGGCAAUCCCCUGGGCCUGCACUGACGCUCAUGCACGAAAGCGUGGGGAGCAAACAGGAUUAGAUACCCUGGUAGUCCACGCCCUAAACGAUGUCAACUGGUUGUUGGACGGCUUGCUGUUCAGUAACGAAGCUAACGCGUGAAGUUGACCGCCUGGGGAGUACGGCCGCA
rnacentral:rRNA from 1 species